UGGCUGGGAACCUGCCCUAACGAGGGGGAUAACAGUUGGAAACGACUGCUAAUACCGCAUAAUGUCUUCGGACCAAAGGAGGGGAUCUUCGGACCUUUCGCGUUAGGAUGGGCCCAGUUGGGAUUAGCUUGUUGGUGAGGUAAUGGCUCACCAAGGCGACGAUCCCUAGCUGGUUUGAGAGGAUGAUCAGCCACACUGGAACUGAGACACGGUCCAGACUCCUACGGGAGGCAGCAGUGGGGAAUAUUGCACAAUGGGCGAAAGCCUGAUGCAGCCAUGCCGCGUGUGUGAAGAAGGCCU
rnacentral:rRNA from 1 species